rnacentral:rRNA from 1 species
UACGAAGGGGGCUAGCGUUGUUCGGAUUUACUGGGCGUAAAGCGCACGUAGGCGGAUCGUUAAGUCGGGGGUGAAAUCCUGGAGCUCAACUCCAGAACUGCCUUCGAUACUGGCGAUCUUGAGUCCGGAAGAGGUGAGUGGAACUCCUAGUGUAGAGGUGGAAUUCGUAGAUAUUAGGAAGAACACCAGUGGCGAAAGCGGCUCACUGGUCCGGUACUGACGCUGAGACGCGAAAGCGUGGGGAGCGAACAGG